rnacentral:misc_RNA from 1 species
CCAAUAGCGUAUAUUAAAGUUGUUGCAGUUAAAAAGCUCGUAGUUGAAUUUCGGGAUCAAUAUAUCGGUCGUGCCUUGGUACGUACUGGUAUCAUUGGUUUCUCCUUUCUGACGAACCAUGAUGUCAUUAAUUUGGUGUUAUGGGAAGUUAGGACUGUUACUUUGAAAAAAUUAGAGUGUUUAAAGCAGGCUUUAGCUUGAAUACAUUAGCAUGGAAUAAUGAAAUAGGACGUUCGAACCUAUUUUGUUGGUUUCUAGGAUCAACGUAAUGAUUAAUAGGGAUAGUUGGGGGCAUUAGUAUUCAAUUGUCAGAGGUGAAAUUCUUGGAUUUAUUGAAGACUAACUACUGCGAAAGCAUUUGCCAAGGAUGUUUUCAUUAAUCAAGAACGAAAGUGAGGGGAUCGAAGACGAUCAGAUACCGUCGUAGUCUUAACCAUAAACUAUGCCGACUAGGGAUCGGAUGAUGUUAAUUUUUUAAUGACUCAUUCGGCGCCUUACG